rnacentral:tRNA from 1 species
GCACCGUUAGCUCAAUUGGCAGAGCAGGGGACUUUUAAUCCCAAGGUUCAGGGUUCGAUUCCCUGACGGUGCACCA